CCUGGCAGGGGCAGUUCAAGUGGCCCGGGAAAUCAGCGAUUUGUAGGGUCAAGGGCUGGUGCUUUAAAAGAGAGGCGGAGGGGAGAGAGGGAUUUCCCGGUCUCUGCUGCACUCUGUCUAUCCGCUCGGUUACUCCUUUUCCUGGCCCGCGCGAACCCGCUGUGCCGCAGAGGCGGCCAUGUACCUUUAAGGCCCCGCUGCGCCUGCGCCUUGGGCUCUCCUGACGCGCCGAGCGGGACCCUGAGGAUCCAGCUGGCCGCAGGCUAUGGGCUGGGCGGCGGUUGAGACAGCGGCGAUAUUGGGAGGGGUAGGUGAGCGUCGCGAGGCAGCGUGAGCUUCUGAGUGAACGCGGUGCUUUUGGGAACGCGGGACGGGCGACCUGUGGCGCCAGGAGCGGGCCGAGGCGCGGCGGCGCGGCUGCCGUCUGGAUGGGAAGUUACGGUUUACAGCGAAGUCCACCCAGCGUUUCCGAGGUGAAGGCGCCGCGCCAGGCCGGGCGGGCGGCUGGUGAUGGGCAAGCCGGGUGUACCAAGUCCAGGAUGCACAUGAGGAGCGUUUGUAGCCGUCACUGAAUCACCUCAUGACUAGCGGGGCAGGCCUCUAAUUCACCGCAGGAUUUCCGAUCUCACUCUGUUGCCCAGGCUGGAGUGCAGUGGCACAAUCACAGCUGACCACAACCUUGACCUCCCAAGGCUCAGGUGAUCCUCCUGCCUCAGCCCCCAAGUAGCUGGGACCUACAGGCAAUCUGAAAGCAAAUCCUGUUUAGAUGCAGGCGAAGGUUCCUGGUGACCCAGGCUCUCACCUUACCGUCCCUUACCGUCCUCCUGAGGGUGUCCUGGAGCUUCAGUGCUGUGUGUUCUUGGCCUCCAUGCUGGGGGUGCCACCAAUUCCCACUGUCCAGGGCUUCCAGUGGACUCUCCGAGGUACUGAUGUAGAAACUUCCCCAUUCGGUGCACCAAGAGCAACCUCACACGGUGUGGGCCAAAUGAAGAGCUGCCAGAUCCCACAGGUGGCAAGGGCUCUGGAACAGCCACAUAAAGGUGAGGGCAAUAUUUUUACUGUAGUUCUUUCAUUGAUUGGUUGAUUGAUUUUUUUCUCUUAGAGGGUUAGCAUACAUUUAUCUGAAAUUGAAAUUCAAGAGGAGAGACAGGCACCUGUACUAGUUUUCUCUUGCUGCCUAUUAUCACAUUACCACAAACCAGUGGUUUGAAACCACAGAAGUCUGGAAUGAAGUGGCCGGGUUCUCUGAUCAGAGUCAUGUGAGGCUAAAAUCCGGGAAUGGGCUGGCUGUGUUUUUUUCCUAGAGCUCAAGCUAUUUUUCCAGGUUCACUACAGAUAAUGAAAGAGUUCCUAUUCUAGUUUGUGGGGGACUGAGGGCCCUUUUUCUGUGCUGGCUGUCAGCGGGGAGACAGUCUACUCUGACUCCAGAGGCCACGUGCUUUCCUCCUUACCUGUCUGUUUCAUCUUUCAACCAAUAACAACUCAUGGAGUCCUUCUCAAGCUCCCACCUUCUCUGACUUCAUCUUCUCCAACCAGCCACACAAAGCUCUGUCAUGUAUGGAGUGAUGUGAUUAGAUCCAGUUCAUGCGGUAACCUCACCAUCUUAAAGUCAUAUAACUGGCAUAUAACAACAUAGUCACAGGAAUGGUGUCUCAUCACCUUAAGAGGCUUUAGAGACAAGGGUGUGGCAUGUUUGGGGACCAUUUCAGAAAUUCCAUUUACCACAGUAGGACACUCACAUUCCCCCAUCUGCAAAGUGCAUUUACCCUCUCCCCUGAGGUUUCCAGAUUUCAUGUCAUUAAAGCAUUAGUUCAACAUGAAAAAUGUCAUGUAGACCACAUCAGAUCAAAAGUUUAAAAUCCCAUCUAAAACAUCCACACCAGGUGUGAAUGAGGCUUCCGAGAGUGUCCAUUAAGUGCAGAUCCUUGACAUAAUUCCCUUACCUCUGUCGACCUGUGAAACUGAACAAACAGCUUAUCUGCCCCUAAUGUGAAAUGAUGGGACAGACAUAGAAUAACCACUACAGUGAUUCUAGUUCAAAAUGAGGGAACAUGGAGGGGAUAAAGAAGUCAAUAACCCAAAAUAGUUUGGAAAUGGAGCUGGGCAAAAUCCAGCAGGAGUUUCUUAGUUAGGAUCCACAGCCUGGGACUGACCCUCUGUCCUGUGGGUCUUUGCCUCUGGGCUCUCUGCUCUGCAUUUCUUGAAACCAUUAUUAUUUAUCAUUUUUCUCACACUGUUUUGCGUAUGGCUCCUAUUGCACUCAAAAUGUUUUUGAGAUUCAUCCAUGUUGUUUUGUGUGUCAAAAGUUUGUUCCUUUAGCCAUUCCAUGGAAUGAAUGUAUCACAGUUUAUUGAUCCAUUCUUGUAUUGAUAGAUAUUUGAAUGUUUCCAGUUUUUCCUAUUAUGAAUAAAACUGCUAUGAACAUUCUUGUAUAAAUCA
rnacentral:lncRNA from 1 species